rnacentral:lncRNA from 1 species
AAUCGUGACCCAUAAACAAAUCUGGAAAGCCAAAAUUACUUUCUCAUCUUGCUCCAUGUCCUCCAUCAGGUGCGCGAAGUUUUAUUUUGAAGCCAAUUAACUCUAGAGUUGUUUAUUCUUAUACAAAAUAUUACUAAUGUACAUUUUCCUGUUACUUUAUUAUAAUUAUAAGAAAACUAAUUUGCAUCUGUUUCCCCAUUGCAUUUUAAUUGUCCCUGGCGAUUCCCUGUGACAGUCUCCGGCUCAUUUUCAGGAGUCUGAAAGCCCCGCCAUACUGUUGCUACCCUGCGGUUCCGCCACUGCAGCCAACGCCACCAGCAAAGUGGAAAAAUUUUAGUUUUCAAAGUCGUUGCCGCUUCGCCCACUGCCCCUCUACCGGAGGGCUUUUGCCUGGCUGCUGGCUGUUGCUGGCUGCCAUUAGAAGAAUUUUACUCUCAGACGCGUUAAUUUACUCACAUACGCUGCUUGUUUGCAUAAAUCAACGCUGUCUGGUGGUUAAAGUACGAACUGGAGUGCGAGGAAUCCCAGCCUGGAUAAUCAUACCCGCACCACGUUGGACAUAACUUUACGGCUCCAACUUAAAGCCGCAAAAAUCAGCAUAGCUCGUGCGGUGGCAACGGCUGCUGCUCCUGUUAUGUGGGCCCCUCUCGUGUCACUUUCCAUAAGGGAUGGCAGAAUCUCCACCUGCGUGGAGCGUAUGUUUCCGCAUUUAUUACACGGCUCGCUGGCGCGAUUUACAACUCGUUUACUGAGCGAUUUAAUCCUUUUUGCUUGGCAAUUUUGAUUGCCGCAUCGCGCUCUGCACAUUUGUUAGAUUAUAAUGAGAUUUUCUGUUGUGACUUUUUAUGGGAUAAAUAAAAUGAAGCACCAGCUGUACCCUCAGCUCG